CCUACGGGUGGCAGCAGUAGGGAAUCUUCCACAAUGGGCGAAAGCCUGAUGGAGCAACGCCGCGUGGAUGAAGAAGGUCUUCGGAUCGUAAAACCCUGUUGUUAGAGAAGAAAGUGCGUGAGAGUAACUGUUCACGUUUCGACGGUAUCUAACCAGAAAGCCACGGCUAACUACGUGCCAGCAGCCGCGGUAAUACGUAGGUGGCAAGCGUUAUCCGGAUUUAUUGGGCGUAAAGGGAACGCAGGCGGUCUUUUAAGUCUGAUGUGAAAGCCUUCGGCUUAACCGGAGUAGUGCAUUGGAUACUGGGAGACGUGAGUGCAGAAGAGGAGAGUGGAACUCCAGGUGUAGCGGUGAAAUGCGUAGAGAUAUGGAAGAACACCAGUGGCGAAAGCGGCUCUCUGGUCGGUAACUGACGCUGAGGUGCGAAAGCGUGGGGAGCAAACAGGAUUAGAUACCCGAGUAGUC
rnacentral:rRNA from 1 species